CUCUCUAGGCAGGAUCUCCGAGGAGAUGUCAUGUUUUUCUCCAGUGCCGGGGUUCAUGUUGUCAGGAUGAGGCACUGCAUGCCUCAGCGUCCCGUGAGGACCUUCUAGAACACACAUCUCUGGGCUCCACCUGCAAGGUUUUCAUUUCAGAGCUUCUAUAGUGGGAUCCAAAGAUCUGCAUUUCAAGCAAGUUACCAGGUGACGUCAGUGAUGCUGGUUUGGGUGUCACAUGGGCCAAGCGUCUUUUGCAGCUAAUUGGCAAGGUCUCUGCCAUCCACAAGUUCUUUUGGCAUCACCAGGAGAGACUCUCGUUUUCUGACUAUAAAAUGCACCAAAGUUACUUUAGAGAAAUGCUUUUGCCAUCAGUGCUUUUAAAAU
rnacentral:lncRNA from 1 species